rfam:Ailuropoda melanoleuca scaffold931_68, whole genome shotgun sequence.
GCCUGGCUGGCUCAGUCAGUGGAGCAUGUGACUCUUGAUCUCAGGGUUAUAAGUUCAAGCCCCAUGUUGGGCA